AUAAGAUCUCUUCAAGAGUCAAUGAAGGCAUUACAGAAGCAAUUAGAAAAAGAACGCUUGCAGUUAACUGCUGAGCGUGAAGCACUAGGGAGAGAGAGAG